rnacentral:lncRNA from 7 species
CUCAAGAAGGGCUGUUUGGUGAAAGGGACUCAGAGCAAUGGACAUAUUCUGGAUGCUUCUCACUUCAAGAUCUGAAGCGAGGAAGGACACAAACUCAGCCAUAACACCCUGGUUUGGAAGGCCAUAGAGAAGCACCAUCUCUUCAGAAGAGUAACUCCCAUUUUGCUGACCAAUGCCUUUUUCAACACAGGCCUUCCUAAAGUAUAUUCUGAGGGAUGAGGAUUGUUGUUUCGAACAGAAUUAAGUGUAUGUAUACUGGUAAUUGAUGCUGAAUGCACAAGUUCAUUUGUAUCCAGUCAGGCUGCAUCAAGAUUCAUUGCAUUUAAUGGGAAAUUCACUCUUCUGGAUCAGAUACCUAUUUUCAAUUUGGACAGUAUCUGAUUCCAAUGGCAGAGGUGACAGAAAUAAAGAGGAGAUGAGAAGCAACUGCCUAUGGUAUAGAUUUCUGCAAUGCUAACACAGCUGCCAGUUUCUGAACCAGUAGGAUUAUCCAGGACUCUCCAGUGUAUUUCCCAGCCAGAGAGCCUUUUGCUACGGUGGGCCCUCUUAUCCUGCCAUCACGCUUCGCUGAGCCUGCUGUCCUGGGAUUGGGGAGAUGCUGAGCUGUAUUCAUUGUGACACAAAGUAAAAGCGGCAGGUUCCCAGCCUCAUGAGCAACAGCAACACUCCAGCAUUUAAUGGACUUAAACCUCUCCUGCAACCCACCUGUUUCUGGGCAAGAAUCACUGUCCUUUGAGUUUACUGCUAUUGUGAAAUGACCAUCAAGAUGACUUAUCAGUGACACUGAUGUGACACUGUCAGCAUGCAGAACAAAAACAGAGAGUUGCAGGCUCUGAGCACACCCAUGUACUUUGCAAUUUUCAACCUGGGUGUAAGGAUGACAGAAAGGAGACAGAGGACAAAAGAGGUGGAAGACUGUGCCCAGGUGACCAACCAUUCUGAGAUGAGAGUCUGGGAGUGAAAUAGGAGAUUCUUGAAGUAUAGACAAUUUUGCUGAUAAUAUCAGUGAAUCUUAUUUGGAACUGCUGCUUCCUAUGCCCAAGUCAGCUAAUGUCUGAUGCAUGCAAGCGCACUCCUCUUCAGAUCAAGUUGUUUCUUAGAAGUGCUUUCAUUUUGAAAUGGGAAAGCAGCUGUCUUUUUUAAAAAAGUUAAAAUAUUAAUUUGUUUUCAAGCAUUUACACUGCUUGCUUAUUUUCCGCACUUCUCAUAGCUUUGGGAGAACUCUGUUUUACUCUUUUUAUCGAUUCUCUACAUGUUGUACUCUUCUGCCAGUGGGCUGGGAAGAGAACACUGUAUGGUACCAUUUGUAUUUUAAAAUAAAUUAAUAUUUGUCUUG